rnacentral:rRNA from 1 species
UACGUAGGUGGCAAGCGUUGUCCGGAAUUAUUGGGCGUAAAGCGCGCGCAGGUGGUUUCUUAAGUCUGAUGUGAAAGCCCACGGCUCAACCGUGGAGGGUCAUUGGAAACUGGGGAACUUGAGUGCAGGAGAGAAGAGUGGAAUUCCACGUGUAGCGGUGAAAUGCGUAGAGAUGUGGAGGAACACCAGUGGCGAAGGCGACUCUGUGGCCUGUAACUGACACUGAGGCGCGAAAGCGUGGGGAGCAAACAGG